GACGAACGCUGGCGGCGUGCUUAACACAUGCAAGUCGAACGGAAAGGCCCUGCUUUUGUGGGGUGCUCGAGUGGCGAACGGGUGAGUAACACGUGAGUAACCUGCCCUUGACUUUGGGAUAACUUCAGGAAACUGGGGCUAAUACCGGAUAGGAGCUCCUGCUGCAUGGUGGGGGUUGGAAAGUUUCGGCGGUUGGGGAUGGACUCGCGGCUUAUCAGCUUGUUGGUGGGGUAGUGGCUUACCAAGGCUUUGACGGGUAGCCGGCCUGAGAGGGUGACCGGCCACAUUGGGACUGAGAUACGGCCCAGACUCCUACGGGAGGCAGCAGUGGGGAAUAUUGUACAAUGGGCGGAAGCCUGAUGCAGCAACGCCGCGUGCGGGAUGACGGCCUUCGGGUUGUAAACCGCUUUCGCCUGUGACGAAGCGUGAGUGACGGUAAUGGGUAAAGAAGCACCGGCUAACUACGUG
rnacentral:rRNA from 1 species